rnacentral:rRNA from 1 species
UACAGAGGGUGCAAGCGUUUAAUCGGAAUUACUGGGCGUAAAGCGCGCGUAGGUGGUUUGUUAAGUUGGAUGUGAAAUCCCCGGGCUCAACCUGGGAACUGCAUCCAAAACUGGCAAGCUAGAGUAUGGUAGAGGGUGGUGGAAUUUCCUGUGUAGCGGUGAAAUGCGUAGAUAUAGGAAGGAACACCAGUGGCGAAGGCGACCACCUGGACUGAUACUGACACUGAGGUGCGAAAGCGUGGGGAGCAAACAGG